rnacentral:rRNA from 1 species
GACGAACGCUGGCGGCGUGCUUAACACAUGCAAGUCGAACGGAAAGGCCCUGCUUUUGUGGGGUGCUCGAGUGGCGAACGGGUGAGUAACACGUGAGUAACCUGCCCUUGACUUUGGGAUAACUUCAGGAAACUGGGGCUAAUACCGGAUAGGAGCUCCUGCUGCAUGGUGGGGGUUGGAAAGUUUCGGCGGUUGGGGAUGGACUCGCGGCUUAUCAGCUUGUUGGUGGGGUAGUGGCUUACCAAGGCUUUGACGGGUAGCCGGCCUGAGAGGGUGACCGGCCACAUUGGGACUGAGAUACGGACCAGACUCCUACGGGAGGCAGCAGUGGGGAAUAUUGCACAAUGAGCGGAAGCCUGAUGCAGCAACGCCGCGUGCGGGAUGACGGCCUUCGGGUUGUAAACCGCUUUCGCCUGUGACGAAGCGUGAGUGACGGUAAUGAGUGAAGAAGCACCGGCUAACUACGUG